UAUCAUUGUAGAUUGCAGAAUAUGUUUUUGUACAGUUGUUGUAAAGUGCUCUUAAUCCUCUUGAACUUACGUUUGCGUUUAUAGAUCAAUGGAAGUAAUCUUCCACUUUCAGAACCUUGCUUGUCUUUAGCUUUUUUGUCUAAUGGCAUGAUUGGGAUUUUCCUAUAAUCAGUUGUCUUCGAGACUUAAGAAGUAGUGCGACCUUGGCCCUCAUUGUAACCUGGAACAUUUGAACUAC
rnacentral:misc_RNA from 1 species